GGCUUCCGGCCCAUGGCGGUGGUUGGUGACUCAGUGUCCUUCCAGCGCGCUUUAUGUCCCGGAACUGAAAGGCAAUGAACAAUUUCCAAUCCACCCCAACCCUAAAAACCCUGCGGGGCCCCUAGGGUAUCCCUCCUACUUAACCCUGGCGGGCUCCUAGUCUCGGGAGGUGGAGGGGGCGGGGCGGCUGUUUUCCUGGACCUACUGCUGAAAGAACUCAGAACCUGGGGAAAGAUUGAGGCUGCAGCAGGCAGCGUGGAGGUCAGAUAGCUGGAAGCACUUAACGGCCCCGGGGAGAACCGCUGCACUCUCUUUUGCUUCCUCUCGCGGUUUGGUAGAAAAAAAAGAGGCCUCAGAGUAGUUUGUUUUUAAUGAGCUGGUUGCUGAAGUAAAUGUUAAAAUUUGCAAUUAAGCCCAGUCACCUGCCCCAGCCUUCUCUGAUCGAGGUUUCCAUCCUGCGGCAGCAUAUGCGCCAUCCUCCUCGAUCUUCACAGGUCUCUGAGCGGAGGGCUGGGCUUUCCAGCCCUACUUUCUGAAACUCUUAUGGUCAGCAUUGGAGUUCACUGGUUCCCCUAGGCGUUGAUCAGAGGAUGGGAACCAGCCCGGCCGGGCCCACCUUCACUCACUGGAUCAGUAAAUACCCUGGCGGUGCACCUGGUGUUGGAAGCUGGUGCUGCACAGGCGUGUGAGGAUUAGAUCAGAGCAGAAAACUCGGGCGAUGGCAGGGUGGUGAGGCACAGGUGAACUUUAUGGGCAGUAAGUGAGGUUCACUGGUUGGGGAAAGUUUAUUGGAAAGGUAGAAAUGAAUUGUACGACAGAAAUAACGAUAAUAGUAAGUUAGCAACCAUUUCUGGAGGCCGCCAUAGAUCUCGUACCGGUGAAGGGGCUAAAUUAUCUCAGAGGGUGCUCAAGUGGAUGGGGUUCAGACAGCCUACUCAGAUUUAAAUCCUGGUUCUACCAGGUCCUAGUUAGUGACCCUCAGCAGGUUUAGUUAUCUCUCCUGGGCCUCAGUUCCUCAUCUGUAAAAUAAUGAUAAUGGUACCUACCUCAUAGGGCUCUUCGGAGGAUUCGAAGUGUUAUUAUUGGUAAAAUAGGGCCGGGCUUGGUGGCUCACACCUCCCAGCACUUUGGGAGGCGAGGCAGGUGGGUCACCUGAGGUCAGGAGUUCGAGACCAGCCUGGCCAACAUGGUGAAACCCUGUCACUACUAAAAAUACAAAAAAAAAAAAAAAAAAAAAAAAAAAAAAAAAUAGCUGGGCCUGGUGGCGGGCGCCUGUAAUCUCAGUUACUUGGGAGGCUGAGGUCGGAGAAUCACUUGAACCCGGCAGGUUGCAGUGAGCCGAGAUCGCACCACUGCACUCCAGCCUGGGUGACAGAGUGAGACUCCAACUCAAAAAAAAAAAAAAGUGUAAAAUAGAAUAGGCCUGGCACAGCAUAAGUGCUGUAUAAGUUUUUGUUAAAUAACUUUCCUUUAAUCUUCCCAAGGUAUGAGGUCGCUGAUAUUUUCCCCAUUUUACAUCAAUGAAGUAAGGAUCAAUAGGUGUUGUGAAGAGACGGAGAGGAAGAAGGAAUACAUUUUUAAGUGGUUAUAAGACUGGGAAAGGGCCACAUUAUAGAUGCCUUUGUGUGGCUUUCAUUACUUUUGCAGACAUUGAUUUCAAAAUAUGGCUCUUGUAAUUUUUUUUCUUUCCUUUUCCCAUUUUUGGCAUUUUGCCAAGUAUGAGUGGUUAUGGCAUCAUCUGACUUUCUAGCAUUUUCUAUAGAGAAGUAGUACAGGGAAAAAACGUUAAGACCCUUGCAGAGAUGGGAAGGCUAUCCUUCAUUUUCUGUGCCAUCCCUGUCUUGAUCAUAAAUAACAGGAACUGGACGAAACAUGGUCUUAACUGGGCAUAGGGUGAUUAUAUAUGUGAAUUAUCUGUGAGAAAUGCCUGUCUCUCCUCUCUCCUCUCCCUGCUUAGCAUGUGAUUUGUAUAUUCUUAUUUUUCUUUGGUUUUGUUUUUUUCUAGAAAUGAGGUCUCACUGUGUUACCCAGUCUCAAACUGAGCUCAAGUGAUCUUCCCAUCUCAGGUGCCUCCCAAAGUGCUGGGAUUAUAGGUAUGACCUACCUUGACUGGCCUGUAUAUUCUUAGAGAUUGCAUUUUGUGGGCAGGGAGGGAGGUGAGUCCGAAGCUUGCUUGCCUUCCCUAGGCAUGCCGUCCUCCAGGAACCUCCACAUGUUCAGCUGUCCAGAGUGGCCCAUUAGAUUGAAAGAAUAUGGAAAGCCAUUGGGGAGCUGUUCCGCAGUGCACAGGUCUAUGCACACUUACCCCCAAAGUCCAAGGAAGCUAAGAGGUUGAGGAAGGAGGCUGACAAAUCCAGUUUCUUAGAAAUAUUUAAUAGGAAUUUAUGAACAGAAGCCAUGUCUGUGUCUUGGGUAGUGGUGAGACACGAUGGUGGAUCCCCAGGACAUCAUCCCCUGGAGUAAGUCCUGACCCCAGGACUUACCACAGGGAAGGAACCUCUAGGACAAUUGAAGUCUACCCUGCAGGGAAAGGCAAGAAUACUCAGUAAGCCAGGCUUUAUGAUCAAGAUUGUUUUGAUCUAAGGAGAAAUUAUGGUAAGUACAUGCUCUUACACAAAGAACAGUAGAUAAAAUAGAAAUCUUAGAGGCAUUCCCAAAACUGGGGUUAAUCAGACAUGAACAUUCCCAGCACUUUGGGAGUCCAAAGUGGGAAGAUCACUUGAGCCCAGAAGUUCAAGACCAGCCAUGGCAACAUAGCAAGAGACCCCAACUCUACAAAAAAAAUUCAAAAAUUAGCCAGGCAUGGUGGCACGUGUGCCUCUGAUCCCAGCUAUUCAGGAGCCUGAGGUGGGAGGAUCACUUGGGCCCAGUAGGUCAAGGCUGCAGUGAGCCAUGUUUGUGCCACUGCCCUCCAGCCUGGGCAACAGAGUGAGACCCUGUCCUUAAAAAAUUUUUUAAAAAAAGCAGGCCGGGCGUAGUGGCUCAUUCCUGUAAUCCCAACACUUUGGGAGGCCAAGGAAGGUGGAUCACCUGAGGUCAGGAGUUUGAGACCAGCGUGGCCAACAUGGUGAAACCCUGUCUCUACUAAAAAUACAAAAAUUAGCCAGGCGUGGUGGCAGGCGCCUGCAAUCUCAGCUACUUGGGAGCCUGAGGCAUGAGAAUCCCAGGAGGCGGAGGUUGCAGUGAGCUGAGAUUGUGCCACUGCACUCCAGCAUGGGCAACAGAGGGUGACUCCAUCUAAAAAAAAAAAGAGAAAGGCUGAGCGCCGUGGCUCAUGCCUGUAAUCCCAGCACUUUGGGAGGCCGAGGUGGGCGGAUCAUCUGAGGUCGGGAGUUCGAGACAAGCCUGACCAACAUGGAGAAACCCUGUCUCUACUAAAAAUACAAAAUUAGCCAGACGUGGUGGUGUAUGCCUGUAAUCCCAGCUACUCAGGAAGGCUGAAGCAGGAGAUUCGCUUGAACCCGGGAGGUGGAGGUUGUGGUGAGCCGAGAUCAUGCCAUUACACUCCAGCCUGGGCAACAAGAGUGAAAUUCUGUACCCCCCUAAAAAAAAAAAAAAAAAAAAAAAGAAAGGUGGAAUGGGUGGGAAGUGUUAUGUGGAAAUAGGCUCCCAGAGAGCACAGUGGAAAAGGUUGAGAGGAAGAGAAGCAGAAGGAGAUUGUAUUAGGGCCCUUUAGCUGCUCUCUUCAAGCAUGUUUAUUCAGUAUACGUUCCUUUUUGUGUUUUGUUUGGGAGACAGGAGUCUUGCUCUGUGGCCCAGGCUGGAGUGCAGUGGUGCAUCUUAGCUCACUGCAACCUCCACCUCCUGGUUUCAAGUGAUUCUCAUGCCUCAGCCUCCCAAGUAGCUGGGAUUACAGGUGUGUGCCACCAUACCUGGCUAAUUUUUUUUUUGUAUUGUUAGUAGGGAUAAGGUUUUGCCAUGUUGGCCAGGGUGGUCUCGAACUCCUGACAGGUGAGCCACCGCCUUGGCCUCCCAAAGUGCUGGAAUUAUAGGCAUGAGCCAUUGCGCCCGGCCUCUGUAUACAUUUCCUUUCCUCUCCCCCGAGAAACAGGGGCUUGCUCUGUUGCCCAGGCUCUGGAUGCAGUGGCACAAUCAUAGCUCACUGCAACCUCAAAUUCGUGCGCCACCGUACCUGGCUAUUUCUUAUAUUUAGUUGUUAUAGUUUUUGUUUGUUUGUUUGUUUUUUGAGAUGGAGUCUCACUCUUGUCACCCAGGCUGGAGUGCAGUGGUGCAAUCUUGGCUCACUGCAAGCUCCGCCUCCCGGGUUCAUGCCAUUCUCCUGCCUCAGCCUCCCAAGAAGCUGGGACUACAGGCGUCCCACACCCAGCUAAUUUUUUGUAUUUUUUAGUAGAGACAGGGUUUCACUGUGUUAGCCAGGAUGGUCUCAAUCUCCUGACCUCGUGAUCUGCCCGCCUCGGCCUCCCAAAGUGCUGGGAUUACAGGUGUGAGCCACCGCGCCCAGCAAUUUUUGUCUUUUUAGUACAGAUGGGGUUUCAUUAUGUUGGCCAGGCUGGUCUUGAACUCCUGACCUCGUGAUCCGCUGGCCUCUGCCUCCCAAAGUGCUGGGAUUAUAGUGUUGGAAUUACAGGUGUAAACCACGGCGCCUGGCCCCACUUAAGGAAAUAAUGUGAGAUGUAUAUAAAUAUCUUCAUGGCCAGGUGCAAUGGCUCAUGUCUGUAAUCCCAGCACUUUGGGACGCCGAGGCAGACGGAUCACCUGAGGUCAGUUCGAGACCAGCCUGGACAACAUGGUGAAACGCCGUCUCUACUGAAAAUACAAAAAUUAGCCCAGCGUGGUGGCGGGCAUUUGUAGUCCCAGCUACUCAGGAGGCUGAGGCAGGAGAAUCACUUGCAUCCGCAAGGUGGAGGUUGCAGUGAGCCGAGAUCACACCAUUGCACUCCAGCCUGGGCAACAGAAUGAGACUCUGUCUCAAAAAAAAAAAAAAAAAAAAAGCUGCUGCUGGCCUGACACGGUGGCUCAUGCCUGUAAUCCCAGCACUUUGGGAGGCCGAGGCGGGCAGCUUAUUUGAGGUCAGGAGUUUGAGACCAGCCUGGCCAACGUGAUGAAAACCCUGUCUCAAAAUACAAAAUUAGCUGGGUAUGGUGGCAGGUGCCUGUAAUCCCAGGUACUCAGGAGGCUGAGGCAGGAAAAUUGUUUGAACCCCGAAGGCAGAGGUUGCUGCAAGCCGAGACCACGCCAUUGCAUUCCAGCCUGCGUGAGAAGAGCAAAACUCUGUCUCAAAAAGAAAAAAAAAGAAAAAAAAAAAAAAGGCUGCUGCAGUUCCAGACAUAAUAUCCUCAUACCAAUAACCUACGCAGAAAGGAAGGGGCAAUGAGGGCUUUCUUCUUUAGAUGCUACAGUCCCUGACUUCCUCUAACAUCUUGUUGACCAAAACUGGGUCAGGGUCAUUUCAACUUGCAAGGGAAAGUGAUUAUUCAGCAAAGGGGAUCUUGAUUAAUUUCCUGGGGCUGGCAUACUGCCACCAGGGACAUUCUGGGAUUCUGUAUGUAGGGAAGAGGGGAAAUGGCUGUUGGGUAGACAACUGUGUUGCCACACCUAGUUAACUACAGCACGUUGUUUGGUCCAAUAAAAACACAUUCCAAGAGGAUAGUAUUUGCAAUCAGUGAUAGCGUAACCAUAUGCAGUCAUAUCUUUCUCCAGAAAAGGUGUGCAUCGUGUAUGUGUGUUAAAAGUCAGUUGUUUGAGAAAUGACAGAAGUAUAUUUAAUUCAUGUGACUAAUGACCCUUAAAAUGUGUUCCAUCUUCAUAUAUAAAUGUGCAAUUGUGUUUUGUGUCUCAUCUUGUAUGUAUUUAGUUGUUUUCUUUUUUCUGGUUGUUAUCUUUUUUUUUUUUUUUCUUUUUUUUGGAGACAAGGUCUCACUCUGUCACCCAGGGCGGAGUAGAGUGGUGGCACGAGCCUAGCUCACUAUUACAUUGAACUCCUGGGCUCAAGCGAUCCUCCUGCCUCAGACUCCUGAGUAGCUGGGACUACAGGUGCAUACCACCAAGCCUGGCUAAUUUUUUUUAAGGGUGGUAGUUUUCUCUGGAUCCUCUGCCUCGGCCGGCCUCCCCAAGUGUUGCCAUUACAGGCAUGAGCCAUCACACUUAGCCAUCAUCUUGUAUUUAAUAUGUAUAGUAGUACCUCUUCCCUUAUAUAUAUUGAACUCAAAAAGGUUAGGAAAGAGUAGGGACCCUUCUGGGAUGGAAGAAUUUGUGCCAUGUCCUCUAGUUUUCUGGAAAUGUAAUUACUUGAAGUGAUAAACUAGCUCAAGAAUGUUUUCUUAAAAUCACACAUUACAAAAUCCUAGGUUGUAUUAUCUGAAGCCAGCUAGAACAGCAGGCCUUGGGCUGCAUGCCCAGCUAGUAUCUAGAAUUUUUUUUUUUUUUUUUUU
rnacentral:lncRNA from 1 species